AAACUUUCAACAACGGAUCUCUUGGUUCUGGCAUCGAUGAAGAACGCAGCGAAAUGCGAUAAGUAGUGUGAAUUGCAGAAUUCAGUGAAUCAUCGAAUCUUUGAACGCACAUUGCGCCCCUUGGUAUUCCUUGGGGCAUGCCUGUUCGAGCGUCAUUUGA
rnacentral:rRNA from 1 species